rnacentral:rRNA from 1 species
AACGCGAAGAACCUUACCUGGACUCGAAAUGCAGUCGACUGCCUCAGAGAUGAGGUUUUCCCGCAAGGGACGGCUAUAUAGGUGCUGCAUGGCUGUCGUCAGCUCGUGUCGUGAGAUGUUGGGUUAAGUCCCGCAACGAGCGCAACCCUUAUCUCCAGUUGCCAUCAUUCAGUUGGGCACUCUGGCGAAACCGCCUCGGAUAACGGGGAGGAAGGUGGGGAUGACGUCAAGUCCUCAUGGCCUUUAUGUCCAGGGCUACACACGUGCUACAAUGGCCGGUAUAAACCGCUGCAAACCCGCGAGGGGGAGCUAAUCGGAAAAAGCCGGCCUCAGUUCGGAUCGCAGUCUGCAACUCGACUGCGUGAAGCUGGAAUCGCUAGUAAUCGCAGAUCAGAAUGCUGCGGUGAAUACGUUCCCGGGCCUUGUACACACCGAGACGAC